AGAACGGACGCUGGCGGCAUGCCUAAUACGUGCAAGUCGAACGAACACUUCGGUGUUAGUGGCGCACGGGUGCGUAACGCGUGGGAAUCUGCCCUUGGGUUCGGAAUAACAGUUGGAAACGACUGCUAAUACCGGAUGAUAUCGAAAGAUCAAAGAUUUAUCGCCCAGGGAUGAGCCCGCGUAGGAUUAGCUAGUUGGUGAGGUAAAGCUCACCAAGGCGACGAUCCUUAGCUGGUCUGAGAGGAUGAUCAGCCACACUGGGACUGAGACACGGCCCAGACUCCGUACGGGGGGCAGCAGGUAGGAACUAUUGGACAAUGGGCGCGAAGCCUGAUCCAGCAAUGCGCGUGAGUGAUGGAGUCCGUUAGGU
rnacentral:rRNA from 1 species